GAACAGGGAUGAGCCCAGCACCGAACCUCGCGCCCGGUUGAGCGGGUGCCGAGGAAUGUGGUGUUCGGGAGGAUCGUGCGCGCCUGUCCGGUAUUUAUCGUCCAAGUCUCCAUGAACGGGGCGAGCAACCCACAGAGGGUGUCAGGCCCGUAGCUUAGACGAGCCGAGACCGUGCAUUGGAUCCCUUCCCAAGAGUCGGGUUGCUUGAGCGUGCAGCCCUAAGCGGGAGGUAAACUCCUUCUAAGGCUAAAUAUCGCCACGAGACCGAUAGCGAACAAGUACCGCGAGGGAAAGUUGAAAAGAACUUUGAAGAGAGAGUUCAAGAGUGCGUGAAACCGUUCAGGGGGUUAAACGGGUGGGCCCUCGAAGGUCGAACGAGCCCCCGCUCCCGGCACUUGGUUGCAUGCCCCCGCUGUGAGAGACUCUCUGAAUUGGGAGCUUGAUCGCUGGCGGGGACCGCAUUAGCCGCGCCAAGGUCCGCUAGUGGGGGGCCAAGUAGGACUCCGCGACCGACUGGGUGUCUGUUAUACGGGGCGUUCGUUAGCGAGUCUUGGGGCUUCGGUUCCUCGGCGAGCGCGGCGUCUCCCAACAGUACUGCCCGGUCGUGACCUGUCGUCUUUUUUACCCGGAGUCUUUUCG
rnacentral:rRNA from 1 species